AGUUGCAAUUCGCAAUGGUCAAAUGUACAAAGGCAAAAAAGAACACAACACAUAAAACCAUCAGCUUGAGACAAUUUGCAUAAGAAUGAACAAAAGAAUCAUAAUCAUCAGUCGGCUUUUAGAUUUUAAAAGAAACAGUACAGAGAAUUAACCAUCUACUGAUGCAGUUGGUGGUGGUGUAGGUGGUGGUAUCGGUGAUGGCGGUGGUGGUGGAUAUGACGGUGCGGCGGUGCGCAACCGUCGGAAUCGGAAACGGAAUCUAUUUUCCGGCGAUAGUGUGUACGUGAGUGCGUGCGU
rnacentral:lncRNA from 1 species